rnacentral:sRNA from 1 species
GCUGGGCAUGAUGGCACCCACCUGUAAUCCCAGAGCCUGGGGAGGCUGAGGCAGGAGGAUCACAAGUUUGAGGCCAGUCUUAGCAACUUAGUGAAACCCUAAGCAACUUAGUGAGACCCUGCCUCAA